GAUUUUGGUUAUCACAAUGGUUAAAGAUUAAUCUUUGUAUUGAACCCGAGAUAAUAUCUGGUAAAAUCUUUAUAGUUGUUUAAUUAUAACCGUUACAAAAUAAAAAACAGAUGAUUAGAGUCUAAAAUGUUUGCUUGCGCGCAAAAAAAUCACAAGACAACGACUGUUGGCAUCACAACGAACUUUGUAGUCACAUUUAGUCCACAUGUUCACUUAACCACUCUUUUCAAAUCCUUUGUUCAUUUUUAUUUCAUUUUUUGCCUGUGUUUCUCAUAGUUGAACCCAAAAUUGUCCACAAUUAAUGUUUCUUUUAUCCUUAAUCUUGAUUCCUGUUUACUGAUUUUCAAUUAAAUAUCCAAAGCAUGAUUUAUCUAAUCUACAAAUGUUUCAAAUUAACAAUUUUACUCACCUUAUUCUCUAUUCUGUUGACAUGGAUAAAAUUGAUCAACUGGCUGGUUGGUAGCUGUAGCCAUACUUUAAUUGGUGCCUUUGAAAUUAAAGAUGACGAUAAUUUUGUUUCCUGGGAUUUCACUUCAACCCAAACAGUGGACUAUACGUGUAGCACCGCCCGAUCAUCAGCAUCAUCACUAUCAUCAGCUUAUUCAUCGACGUUAAACCACCAUCAUUCAUACAAGCAAAAUAUAAUCAGUCCAACGGAAGGUCUUAAAAAAAGGAUCAGUCCAGGAGUUAAAUUGGUUCUUGAUUACUGAUUUUUUAUAAAUCUGUGUGUUGACACUGUGUUACUAAUUAAUUGCCAUCUCAAUUCAUCUUUAAUUACAAAUAUCUUAUAUUGUGAUUCCUUUCAUUUCUCUGUUUUUAUUUUUUCUAUAAAAACUAUUCCAAUGUUCCCAUCAAUUUGGUUAUCGAUGUUAUAAUUUUUUUUUGUAUAACUAUAUUUGACGUUAAAAGCAUUUCAUGUUGAUGCCUGAUAGCAUUUCAUCUUCUGGCAACACCAAUAACAAGAUCAAUUUUGAUUAUUUAAUUACAUUUUCGUUUUUGUUUUAAUCGAAUCACAUAUUUUUUUACAUUUUUUUACAUUAAAGCCAAAAGUAUGAAUGUAGUGUAAUACUUAGAAUAAUUGUUCUUUUAAUUUUUUAUAUCCACUUUAAUCGAUUGACUGGCUGAAUGUCAAUCACAAUUGAUUGCUGAUAAUUUAAGUUUAAUUGUUACUCAAUUAAUUCACUCUCUCUCUCCAAACAACCAGUUCAAGUUCAAAAUUUGAUCAGGAUUAAAAUUGUACUUUAUAAUGGUUAUAAAGAAGUAUAAAUUGGUAUUCAAUUGAUCAAUCAACGAAAUCAACAAUAAAACGAGUAUAAAUUAAAAUCUUUCAAAAGAUAUCAACAAUUUACCAACACUGGAAAUGUAUUACAAGAGGAAGAAAUGGUCAUCAAAAAAGGAAUACAAAAUUGUAAUGUAAUUUACAUUUUCAUUUACACCUUGACGUUUUGAUGGAGUUACAAGAAAAACCUAAAAUGAUAAUUAAUAAUUUCAAAACGAAUGGCUGAUUAACAACAAUUGCUGCGAUGACGAUAAUGAAAGUAAAUAUUUCAGGAUGGAAAAUAUGAGGCGAUAAUUGGCUAGGUUAGUGUACAUACACACUUGAAACGUAAAAAGUGACCUCGAAAGAAAUGAAAAUAAAACUGAAAGGGGAAUAACAACGAAAAUUGGUAAAAAAAACAAAAGCAUGGAAUGGAAAUUGAAUCAAAUUCAUGAUAAUGACAAGAUGGUUAAUUUGAACUGGAAAACUGGAUUUAAAGGAAGAAAAGCUAAAAAAAGAGAUUUCAUGUAUCAUCAAGAAUGAGAAUCAGGUCAACUCAUCAGCAACUGGAAUCAACUUUUCCUUUCCAGCCAUUUGCUCGGUCAUUCCUGAACACACAAAUCUUCACCAUUGGCAGUGACCAUCAGAAUGUAAUUGGCUCGACAUUUUACAUCAACAUCUUCAACACCAAACACUACAAUCAACAGACAACAAUUUAAAGACGAUUUGAGGAUAAAAUAGGAUUUCAAAGGCAAUAAGGACAACCAUUGAAAUGUUUGAUGUAAAAAUGAGUGUCAGUUGUCCAUUUCGGGUGAAAUCAAUUGUUUUUUUAUCUCGCAAAUUAUUUUCCAAGGUUGAUCUUUAACCAUCAUUUUGAUCAAAAUUAGACAAUUUAAUGAUCCAAUCAAUUUAAAGCAAUUAUAAUUAGUACAAUGUUUAAAAGACCUUUCGAUAGUAAAUUUAUAAACUGCUUCUCUAACUGCGAACAAUAUAACAGCCAUUAAGGUGAUUAAGUGAAAUGAUUAUAAAAUGUAUGCUUAAAGUGA